UCUUGACAUACCAUUGACAGGUCUAGAGGAUAGACCCUCCUUCGGGCAAUGGAUACAGGUGGUGCAUGGUUGUCGUCAGCUCGUGCCGUGAGGUGUUGGGUUAAGUCCCGCAACGAGCGCAACCCUCAUUGUUAGUUACUACCAUUCAGUUGAGGACUCUAAUGAGACUGCCAACGACAAGUUGGAGGAAGGUGGGGAUGACGUCAAAUCAUCAUGCCCUUUAUGACCUGGGCUACAAACGUACUACAAUGGCCAAUACAAAGAGAUGCGAAGCGGUGACGUGGAGCGAACCGCAGAAAGUUGGUCUCAGUUCAGAUUGAAGUCUGCAACUCGACUUCAUGAAGGCGGAAUCGCUAGUAAUCGCGAGUCAGCAGAUCGCGGUGAAUACGUUCCCGGGUUU
rnacentral:rRNA from 1 species